rnacentral:rRNA from 2 species
GAAGUUAGCGGCGGACGGUUGAGUAACACGUGGGUAACCUGCCCAUAAGACUGGGAUAACUCCGGGAAACCGGGGCUAAUACCGGAUAACAUUUUGAACCGCAUGGUUCGAAAUUGAAAGGCGGCUUCGGCUGUCACUUAUGGAUGGACCCGCGUCGCAUUAGCUAGUUGGUGAGGUAACGGCUCACCAAGGCAACGAUGCGUAGCCGACCUGAGAGGGUGAUCGGCCACACUGGGACUGAGACACGGCCCAGACUCCUACGGGAGGCAGCAGUAGGGAAUCUUCCGCAAUGGACGAAAGUCUGACGGAGCAACGCCGCGUGAGUGAUGAAGGCUUUCGGGUCGUAAAACUCUGUUGUUAGGGAAGAACAAGUGCUAGUUGAAUAAGCUGGCACCUUGACGGUACCUAACCAGAAAGCCACGGCUAACUACGUGCCAGCAGCCGCGGUAAUACGUAGGUGGCAAGCGUUAUCCGGAAUUAUUGGGCGUAAAGCGCGCGCAGGUGGUUUCUUAAGUCUGAUGUGAAAGCCCACGGCUCAACCGUGGAGGGUCAUUGGAAACUGGGAGACUUGAGUGCAGAAGAGGAAAGUGGAAUUCCAUGUGUAGCGGUGAAAUGCGUAGAGAUAUGGAGGAACACCAGUGGCGAAGGCGACUUUCUGGUCUGUAACUGACA